CUUUAGUGUCGGUUAGCAUGUGCUCUCAUGUGUGUUACUUUCAACGGCAUUUCUGUUCUCUUUCAUAUUCCCUUCUUUCUUCUUCCAUCCGCAAAUGCCGCUUGUCCGAGCGAGCUCCAAAAAGGCUCAAACUUUAGACGCGAUUCGAACCGAACGGCAGCGGCGGCGAGAGCUCCGGCGGCGGCGGCGGCGGCAGCGCAUGGCGGCGAGGUUUGGGCAACUUCGGCGAUGGUUGGCAAUGAUUCGCGAUCGCGAUCAGUUCUGCCCAUCGAGUACAAGAGUCCUCCUUCGACCGCUAGAGCUCCGGUCUGGCUCGCAGAAGACGCGCUGCACUGUUUUCGCAAAACCAGCAAUCAACAACCCGUUCCGGUCUCUACAAAUUCCAGCUACCGAUCCUUCGGCACUUCCUUCUACCCAAGAGCCAUCGACAUUGAGCUUGAUGGAUUAUUUACUCGCCGGCGGCACCCAUCGAACUGGCCGAGAAGGUAAGUUUUCUUUUCCCUGUUUUUUUUUUCCCCCUUCGAUUCGGGGUUCCUAUUCUUGAUAAUAAUUCGUGUUGAUUGCGAGUGCAGUAUCAACAAUGCUGGGAUCCGGCUUGCGAGCAUGGAAAACAAAAGAAUUCCGAGAUUUCCGGAUCUGCCACAGGGCACCGGCGACUAGCUCCCAAAAAUAUCCGACACCCAUUUGUCCAUUCGAGUAAUGCUUCGCGAGCAUAUACUGAUUUUCAGUCUCUGAUCAGCCCAGAUUUCGCUCGUCCAUUUACACAGUAAAAACAUAUGUUCAAUCGGGCUUGAGAGCAGAACGGGCACAAGGGAGCAGGUCAGGGAAUCAAAGUACAAAUGUAGGAAAAUCAGUAAUGCAGCAGCCACUCCCGAGAGGAUGCAAAAAACAGGACACAAAGGCCAGGCAGGACCAACAACAAACGAGGAAUACUACCCACCUUGAUUGGACCAGAAAAACCAGAAGCAGCAACGGAAUGCCCAACAAAACCAGAAAGCAGCCAGCUAUCACCCGUCACAAGAGUAACACGAUUUGCCCAAAGAAGCCAAGAGCGAUGAAUGGAAGAGCCCAAGAAAGAAGAUAAUCGCUAGUCUCAGUAUGACCAUUACAAGUCAAAUGUCAUUAAGAAUGACAAGUGAAAGGGGUAAGAUUGAAGGAUGAAGGAGGCUCCAAGAACAGGAAAUAGAUGGAACAGUAGACGGACAAUGAUGCUAUUUGGAUGAAUGUAAUGAUGAAAUAGGUUGUGUAUAUGUGGGAUGAGGAAAUGUUCAUGGGUUCACGGGCUGAGAAAAGGGGAUUUAGGGUUUAAGGGCAAUGAUUGGAGGGGAAAUCAUGAGGGAAUGAGGGGGAGAAGCGUAGGGAUAGGGUUUGAAUGGGGAUGAAGGGUAAUGGUUGGGGAAAUCAUGAGGGAUCUAGGGUUUUAGUGGAACUAUCACCAAGAGGGAUAGAGAGAAGCUCUUCCAUGAGCGGUUGGGUUCGAACAGUUUUUUUGCUUGCUAAAGGAAGUUGAAGUCAGAUUGGGUCGUGUCUGGACACGGACAGAGUUUAAGGAUCUGAUGUAUCUCUCUUCUAUGAUGCAGCAUCCAUUCUAAGAAUUUACCUAUCUUCUGAAACCGGAAAUAUAUGGAGAGAGUAUUUAGUUAUCUCCAGAAAAUAUGCUGCGUCUAACUGCCCUGGGAUCUAUUGGUCAGGCUUAGAACUUGGAAAUAUGUGCUUAGAAGAUGGUAGUACCACUCUACAGUAUAAUGAAGUUUGGUAAGGAUCACAUACCCUGUAGAAAAUAAAAAAAUAAUCUCACUGUUCCUUUAAUAUCGAGAAUAUUUGUGUGCUGAGGAUGUCUCUUUUAUGUGGUUGAUGU